AAUGAACGCUGGCGGCGUGCCUAAUACAUGCAAGUCGAGCGAACAGACGAGGAGCUUGCUUCUCUGACGCUACCGGCGGACGGGUGAGUACUAGGUGUAUAACCUAUCGUUGAGAAUGGGAUCACGAAAGGAGCCCGGAUCUAAUACCGGAUCUGAUGGUGAACCGCAUGGAUCUAUAGUGCUAGCGCUCUUUGCUGUGACUGAGUCGUAUUAGCUAGUUGGUGUGGUAAGGUGUUACCAAGGCGACGUUCCAUAACCGAUCUGAGAGGGUGAUCGGUCACACUGGAACUGAGACACGGUCCAGACUCCUACGGGAGGCAGCAGUAGGGAAUAUUGCACAAUGGGCGAAAGCCUGAUGCAGCAACGCCGCGUGAGUGAUGAAGGUCUUCGGAUCGUAAAACUCUGUUAUUAGGGAAGAACAAAUGUGUAAGUAACUAUGCACGUCUUGACGGUACCUAAACAGAAAGCAACGGCUAACUACGUG
rnacentral:rRNA from 1 species